rnacentral:lncRNA from 1 species
CUUUUCUAAUAUUUAUAACAAAUAUGAAGGAAUAUUAUACAACUCCAAGGGUAUUGAGUGUAAUUUCAAAUUUUAUGUGCGUGAGAUGCUUAUUUAAGGUCCAGGAUACAAGAUCUCUUUGAUAUCAUUCGCUUAUGCUCUCUUAGCAUUCUUCAAGUUGCCAGUCCUUUUUCCCCUUUUUUUUAUUUUAUUUUUUUGGUUUCCUCUCUUUAACUUUCUUCCUAGAUUUAUUUUUUAAACGUGAACAUGUUUUAGUUUCUUAAAACCACACUGCUUAUUUACUUAGAUUCAAAUGGCUUCAGAAUUGCCAAAUAGUUCCGAACCUUCACCUUUUCUUUAUGAGUUUGAUGGAUUAGAAUUAACAGAAUUUGAUUCAAUUACGCUCCAGGAGCUGCUUCAAGACGAAGAACCAGAAGAAAAUGUGCAAGAUAAUAGUAGUUCUGGCAUUAUUCAAUCCAUGGAGACAGUUAAUGGAGAUUUGGACAGUAUGACCAUGGAAUACUCAGACAAGAUUCAGUUUCACUACGACAACUUUGCCUGGAUUGACACCAUGGAAAUUGGCUCUGCCUUGCCAAGUAAUGAUAUGGACUUAUGGUACGUAGAUAAUGCACACACUGAAGAGAUAAUUAGCGGAAUUGCUCAGGUGAAAGAAGUUAUAGAUAACUCUAAUAGCACAGUUCAAAUAGAUGAAUCAUCAUACUUUGAGUUGUGGCAUGAUAAUUGAUGAUAGAAAUGCUUGGCCCAUUAGAAGAAUGGCUGUGACUUUUUAUCAUCAUCAAUCAUUGAUGAUGAAACAAUAAACCACAAAAGGUUCUGUUAUCUUUAACUCCUUGAAGUUUGUUUGCCCUUAUGAAUGCUUGAAACACUAGAGACAACUUUUCUCGGUUGUCAAAAUGUCGAUGAAAAUGUAUCUUCCAUGCUUUCGUGGUGUAAAAAUUUUGUUCGCAGGAAUGAAUUCAAAUUUCCUCCAUCUCUUGAUAUGGCCUCAGGAGGAGUGUUCAUGUUUAAAUUUUUAUUUUUUUUUUAAAUUUACAGAAUCGUGUAUUAGUGGUACAACCGCCUUAAGCUAAUACAAUUUUACGACAUGCAGAAAGAUGGAAAUAAAUAUAACUGUUGAGCGAAGGUUCAAUUUAACAAAGAAUAGACAACAACAAUUGUCUGCCAAAUAAAAGUUUUCUCCGUCUGAAAGAGUAAGACUUCAAUUCACUUUACCAUGAUCCGAACAAGAAUAGAAAUUUCCAUGUAAAAACAAACUCGUGGUUUAUUUAUUGAUACUAUUAUUUAACUUACUCAGUUAACCUCCUGGCCCUUUUUUCCUCUUUUACUUUUAAACUUUUAACUUGGUGAAGGAAAGGGUAUCAAUUUGUUUGAUGCAGAGAUUAGAUUACUUAAUUUUGCCAUUGUUCAAUGUGAAGCCUUACUUGUGAAUCUGUACGCACCUACGUUCUUCCCCAAGAAUUCAAGUAAAAAAGGAAAUAAAAGCUAAGAGUAUGGAAUAAUGGAAAAAAACACAUGCAGCUCCAAGUGUAAAGGCCCAACUUGACCCCCAAGAAGGAAAGGGGAAAUAGAAAGGUCAGAGCAUAGAGGACUGGAAACAGACAUACAACUUCAACUGCUUGUGAUGUAAUUCAAGAACGUCUUGUUGGCUCAGCAGUACAAGUAAAUAACUGUUGAGCAAAAUAAUAUUCAUUGCAAAAAAUAUGACAUGAAUAAUGUAACAUGGUUUUCAAGAGGGCUAGGGUACUGGCAAAAGGAGAUUUGUUUCUUAAGCUUCCUUUACAUGACCUUUGGCCAGUAAAACCUGAGUUCUUGUAAUUUAGUGAGGUAACUUGCGUAAAUAGAUGUGCUCCAUGAGAAACGCCAAUAAAUGGUGAAACUCUCCUGCUAGGGACUAAUCCAAAGCAUUCCAGUUUAAGCAUCUUUGGAACUAACAUUAAACUUUGCUAUGAAAAAGCCUAUUGUAUCCAGUGGAGAAGAUGGAUCGAACCUCUGAACAAGAUCUUCCUCUCCAGGUCUCAACCAUUCCCUGAACAAUUAUGCCAAUUAAAAAAGUUAAAGACAACUCAUGGAACAACUUACAACUAUCAAAAUGUAUUGAUUAUUUUUAAACUAUUUGCCAAAACAGCUGAACACUCAAUAGUACAGCCAAGGGCAGAUAUUUGUUAAUGUUGGCAUUUCAUACCUAACAUGAACCCAUGUUGCCAGCAGAAAGUAUACACUAAAAUGUGAUUUCUAAAUUGCAAUUAAUUCUUUAGAAUGUAAAAGCUGAUUCUAAAUAUCAGUGUAAUGUAGGAAAAUCACAAGGCUAACUAAUUUGAAUAAACCAUGUGAUCUGAACAUAAUUGUGAUAUUAUACAUCUCUAUCAAAUUUCCUAUGAAAUUAAUAAAUUUAAAUAAAAGUCUUCAACCAAACAAUACUAGAUGGCCUAUAUUCUUUUGAGACUUUUUUUUUUCUCCUAUUAUUUUCAGAACAAAAAUGCUAAAUGUCCUACAUAAGUUGGUUCUCUCAUGCAGUAUCUAACUUUAAUCAACAAUGGCACAUUGAAACCGUUAAACCUUUUAUUAUCAGGCCUGUGAUUAAGAAUCAGGUUUAGACUUAGCAGCAGUUGUAAACAUUAAUCACUAAAGAGCACAGAGAGAGAGAGAGAGAGAGAAACUGAUAAGGCAGCUAUCAUUUACCAACUCCAAAUAACAAGCAAAGCCAUCAUAAAAGAAGCAUUAGUAUGCAAAAUUGGUCGUCUUAGCUUCAAGUUAGAUUUUAGAGUCCCUUUUGCCUACACAACCAAAAAUAGCACAUGAAAUAUCUGCCAAUGCUCAUCAUGAUUCUGCUUAUGUCUAUGAUACCAAAAUCAUAAUCUCCCAAGUAAACAAUAAAGCUUCCUUAAGUGAACGCUUGGGAAACUUCAGCCGAGGUGAACAAAAUAUUAAUAAUGUUUUCAAUUGUAAGCAGAACCAAAAGAAGCACAAAAGAAUUAACUUGAAGCUGCUUAGUUUAACUGUAAUUCCAAACACCAAAUGGUGGACAUUGCAUCCCUGUACCUUCAGAUGAACUGCAAAAUUCUAAAAUUUAGACUAAACAGCUCCAACAGCUGAAGCAUUUCAGACUCAUAAUAUUUACACAGAAAAACUCGAUAUGAUGACACAGGAGAAAAAUACUUACUCAGUAUAUCCAUCAGAUAACUGACAGCCACCAACAAGGCCAGGUCCCCCAACUCUUGGAUGCUGAAGUGCAUUAUGUAGUCAAUGGAAGCUCAUCAAAACAUGACCGACUCAAAAUCAUUAUUAGUCAUCUUACAAGAACAGCAAAAAUUAGGACCACCUGACACUUGCAAAUGGUCAAUCUAGAGUACAACCAUACAAGUUGUGCAGAUUUAUUGCACAGGUUUGCAGUGUAGAUAUGUGAAUUGUUGGUAUUCCAAGUUUUGUUACCUAAGCGCCUCUCUUGGAGCAGAACUUAUGUAUGCUUUAUGAGAUUGCACAAGAUGAUCAAAAUAUCUUGCUCUUCAACAUACUGUUCAGUUCAAUUUCAUCGCAAUUUUGACCACAAUAUAGCAUAAGGAAUGCCCGCUGACAAUAGAUAGAGAUCGACUGCCAUGCUGAAAAGCGAUCAAUCUCUAGGUAAUUUCUGGAACACAUGCUAAUUAUUUGAAAGAGCAGGAAAGGAAAAAUAUAAGGUUUUAAUUGUUACUUGGAUGAUUUUUAGAACCUCUAGCAUAACUCAAUAGAAAGUCCUUGCACAUAAGUAAAGAAUUGCUUCAUUUAUCUAACAGUCUGAGCAUCAAAAGAAGUGCAGACCUGUGAAGCCAGUGAGAGAAACUUGUAGGUAUCCAAUGCAUAUCGAACCAAUCCUUCAUUCUCUCCAGGAUUUAUAGUACAUCUGCCAGCAUUGAAAUUGAGGUCAAUCCUCUUCCUAAGUUAGCAAUAACUUUAAAACGAAUGUUACUCUCUCCCACUUCAAAUUGACGUCCGCUUUUCCAUAUUUUGGUGUAGCAAACUUAUGUUCAUUUUCCUUUAAUGAAGACUUGGAAUCAUAUAGUAGUAAUCUUUUACAUUAGCUCCUCAUGUUUCCACAUUUUCCCUAAACUAAAAUUAACUGACAUCGGCGCCACAGAUUUUUUUUCACUUUCUUUUGAUUUUAUUAUUCUUCAAGGUGCCCUAACAUUUGCAUUCUGUCACCUUUAUCUUGCAAUAAUAGUACAUGAUUCACAGGAUUCAUGAAAUAAACAGUACAUACUUCAUAGGGGUGUAACACAAGGUAGAGGAUGGAGCGGAAGCAAAAAAUGGAAUAUUGACAGCAUAUACUAGUGUACUACAUGAUGGCAGCAAUAACUAAAUCAAGAAAGUAACUGGUUAAGCCUUCCACUAUUGCAAAUAUUAACAAUCAAAUUGGAUAACUGCCUCUUGCAUUAUACAGGCGUGGGUUCCACCUUGCACUCAAGAUAUAGCUAAGAUAGGCUUGGAUCCUUGUUUUUGGAGCUGUUUUUGAAAAACUGUUUUUCACAUCCCAAAUGCUACAGUAAAUGUGUAUUUCUAAAACAACUCCAAAAACACCAUAUCCAAACAUUAUAUCAAAAACAACUACAUAUGUAUAUUUCAAUUAUGUAUAUUAUAUAUAUAUAUAUUAUAUUAAUAUAAAUUGAAAUAUACAAAUUGAAAAUUAUAUAUAUUAUAUAUUAUAUAAAUAUUUAUAUACAUUAAUAUUAUACAUUAAUAUUAUAAUAUACAUAAUAUAAUAUACAUAAUAUGUAAUAUUGUAUACAUAAAUGUGUAAAUAUUUAUACAUAAUAUAUUAUGUACAUUAUAUUAUAAUAUAUACAUUAUUAAUGUAUAAUAUUAUUAUGUACAUUAUUGUGUAUAAUAAUGUCUAAUAAUGUUAGGUAUAAUAUAUAAUAUACAUAAUAUGUAAUAAUGUAACAAUGUAUAUUAUGUAUAAUAUAUUAUAUUAUAUAUAUAUAAUAUUAUGUAUAUUAUACAAAUUGAAAAUUAUAUAUUAUAUAUUAUAUGAAUAUUUAUAUAAUGAAAUAUAAAAUAAAUAUUAAAAAUUGAAAUAUUAUAUAAACACCAUAUUUAUAAUAUUAUAAUAUUUAUAAUUAAUAUUAAUGUAUAUUAUAUAUAUAUUAAAUAUUUAUAUAUUUAUUUUUACAUAUUAUAAAUAUUUUAUUUUACUUAAAAAAUAUUUUUACAUAUUUAUAAUAUAUUUAUAUGAAUAUUAUAUAUUAUAUAAAUUAUAUAUAAUAUAAUAUAUAUUUUACAUUUAUAUAAAUGUAUAUUUAUACAUAAUAUAUAUAUUAAUGUAUAUUUAUAAUAUACAUUUAUAUUAUGUAUUAUACAAAAUAUAAUACAUUUAUAUUAAUAUACAUAAUAUUAAUUUUACAUUUAUACAUAAUAUUAAUACAUUUGUACAUUUAUAUUAAUUAUAUUAAUACAUUUAUACAUAAUAUUAAUAUAUAUUAAUAAAAUUAUAAUUUAUACAUUUAUAUAAUAUUCAUUUGUAAUUUAUACAUUUAUAAUAAUAUGCAAUUUUACAUUUAUAAAUAUAUUUAUAAUAUGUAUUAUAUGUAAUAUAAUACAUUUAUAUAUUUUUAUAUAAAUACAUAAAUAUAUUUAUUUAUAAAUAUUUAUAAAUGUAUAUUUAUAUAAAAAUAUAUAAUUUAUAAUUUAUACAUUUAUACAUUUAUACAUUUAUGUAAUAUUCCUUUAUAAUUUAUAAAUUUACAAGAAUAUACACUUAUACAUUUAUAAAUAUAUUUAUAUUAUGUAUUAUAUGUAAUAUAAUACAUUUAUAUACUUUUAUAGAAAUAAAUAAAUAUAUUUAUUUAUAAGUAUUUAUAAAUGUAUUAUAAAUGCAUAAAUGUAUAUUUAUAUAAAAAUAUAAAAAUUAUAAAUUAUAAAUUAUACAUUUAUACAUUUAUAUAAUAUUCAUUUAUAAUUUAUAAAUUUACAAUAAUAUACACUUAUACAUUUAUAAAUAUAUUUGUAUUAUGUAUUAUAUUUAAUACAAUAAAUUUAUAAUAUAUUUUUAUAUAAAUAUAUAAAUAUAUUUAUUUAUAAAUGCAUAAAUGUAUAUUUAUAUCAAAAUAUAAAAAUUAUAACUUAUAAUUUAUACAUUUAUACAAUAUUCAUUUAUAAUUUAUACAUUUAUAAUAAUAUACACUUAUACAUUUAUAAAUAUAUUUAUAUUAUGUAUUAUAUAUAAUAUAAUACAUUUAUAAUACAUUUAUAUAUUUUUUAGCGAAUAUAUAAAUAUAUUUAUUUAUAAAUAUUUAUAAAUGUAUUAUAAAUGCAUAAAUGUAUAUAAAAAUAAAAUUAUAUAAAUUAUAAAUUAUAAAAAUACCCAAAAUAUGUUUUAAAAAUAUCUCUAAAAAUAAUCCAAAAAACAUCUACAGUAAAAGUUUUUCAUAUAGUUUUUGAAAAACAAUCUCAAAAACAACUAAUCCAAACGGACUUAUAUUUCAAAAACGAAAUGCUACAGUGCUGUUUUUGAAAAACAACCCAAAAAACAGGUAAUCCAAACGGAGCCUCAGUUUGUAGCAACAGAAGUUAAAUCUAAAUCAGUAUAAAGGAGAACAAUAUGGCCAUCCAUUGUCCAGAUCCAGAAAAGAACACUCUUCUCAUCUUCUUACCCUCCCAAAACCAAGCUUUCAUGGUGUAUUGCCCAACAAGACCUUCCAACAACCAAAAAUAGCUAUCUGCCAGGCAUUCUGUGUCUUCCGAGCCCUCCAGGUCAAAAGAAAGUUUCCCCAACUCCUUUGAUUGUGUAGGUUCCUUUCCCAUACUAAGUUCACCAAAAACACUGCCAAUGAAGUUCCAAAUAACCUGUUGACCGACCAUCCUCCAACAAAACUAUGUUGUCCAGACGAUAAGUGGCCCAAGGAAUUCCAAGAUUAAGGAUUAGGCACAACUUCAAAGACAGCCUAUUUGGUAGUAGUUGGGUUUGAGUCUCAACAAGUCUUUCUGUUUAUUUCUAAAUUUUUUUGGUAUAACACUUAAGAGGUAUAUUCUACUAAUAUAGGUGUGAGGCCCCAGUCCGUUCGUAAGUUGAUAUUAAGGUUAUUCAUUAUUUUGUGCGGUUAAAUUAAGGUUGUAGGGCUAAGGAGAAACCCUAAUCUCGGCUAAGAUUGAAAACCCUAACUUUACUUAUGAUUAAACCCUAGUUUAUGUGUUAUUUGUAGGUUCAAGUUAUAGUUCAUGUUUGGUAUUCUAGUGUGUGUUUUGGCCCAAGUAAAAAUAGGAUUCGUUUUAGUUUACAAAGGUUUAGCAAGGUUGAUAUGGUUAGCAAACCUUAGAUUAGUAAACCUUUAGUGUUAUAAAUUAUUAGAAAACUUAAGUUGGGUUUAAAAACCCUAAUUUUGCCAAUAUUAUAAAAGUUGAUGUUUAAUUGUUUUAUUUAUGGAGAAAGUAUGUUUAAGUAUAAGUGAUUAAGAUGGGAAAGUGAUUAGUGAAGUAAUUAAGUGUGAUUAUGUGUUUUAAACUAAAUUAAGCUAAAACCUAUGGAGUAAAUUGAAAGAUUAUCAAAUGUUUGAGGGAAAAUGUAUAAGAAAGAGAAAGUUGGAGUGCAAGGGUUAAAAGUGCAAUUGAGGAACUUUUAUGUGAUUGGUUAACCUUAACAAAUAUCUUUUCUUGUAUUUGACUAUUUAACACCUUAGGAAUAUGAAGUAAUCACAAGACAAACAAGACAAACUUGGAGAGCAAGAGCGAGAGAGAGGAGCCGAGAUUUAGAGAGAAUUCUUCAAAAAUCUUUAAAUUUUAGCUUUCAUCUUGCCUUUGGAUCUUGUGGGAACAACUUAAGAGGUUGAUUGUCAAGAAUUGAUCAUCUACCUAACUCACUUGAAGGUAUGCUAUCUUCUUUAAAAGAUAAAUGUUGGGGUUUUAAUUUCUAAGCUAUGGAAAUGAUGUAGUAUGUUAUGAUUAUGGAUUUAUAUGGUGGAUUUGAUGUUUAUAUUGAAGUUUCAUGGUUAAUUUUAGUGUUGUUUUGCUGCUGGAAAUUCGAUCAAGAAGAGAAAAAUUAGGGGUUUCUUGCUUUAAUGCUUUCCCUAGUUGCUUUGAUUGAGAAAUUGAUUUGUAGUGAUUGUGUUUGAUAAUUUGCCUCACUUGAUUGGUUGGUUUCUAGCAAAAAUCUGAUUUGGGUUAAGAAACCCUAGACUCCAUUAGGUUAGCUUAGUUUAGCCUAUGGCUAUUGAGUUAGGGUUUAUGUAGUUGGAUGUUAGAACAAGUUCUAUGGUGCAAGUAAAACUAGAUUAAGGAUUAUGGUUAGUAUUUGGUGAUUUUGGGCUAACUUGUGAAGGAAUUUCGGACCACUCCUAAACUGAUAUAAGUAUGGUUGUUGGGGAUCAAAUUGGUUAGAAAAUUUGCAUAAGAAUCAUAAGAACGGACCGUACGGUUGUGGCGCGCAAAACCGGCAAAUCUGGGAAACUAGGACAGUUCAGGAUCCGAACUUUGGCUUUGUUUUUCUCAAUGUUGCGUACGGAUUCAGAAGUUCCUCAAAACAUGAAAGUUGUAGCCUUAUAAGUCCUGAAUAUGCCUGUAAAUUUUCAGGUCAAUCGGAUUAGCGUAUCCGGAGUUAUAGAUGAAAUACUCAAGUCUGUUUUGAACAUCAGAUUCUGUGCGUUUUUUGUUUAGCUUCUAACCAUGACUUUUUCGAUUUUGAUCCCGUACGAUCUGGGUGUCAACUCCUUCAUAAGAAAUGUAGAUUUUGGUCUCAGCUUCGAAACGGUAUAAAGUGCGUCGAAAUCCGAGUUCCGUAGCUUCCGUUAUGACCAAAAUAAGAUUGAUCGUCAGAACUGCUUUUGAUCUGGACAGUUCUGACGGGUACUUUGACACUCAAAUUUCGUUCUGUUCUGAGUGGAUUCAGGUCUUGGCCAAAACAUCAAAGUUUUAGCCUUAUGUCUCAGAUUUCUAAUGCCUUUGGAAUUUCCUGAUUUGGUUUUGUGAACUGGGAAUUAUGGUCCAGCAAACAUACCCUGUCUGUCACUCUAAAGUGCGAAUUUCUGGAACAGUUUUCCAUACUUUCGACCUAUUUCCGUUUAGAUCCGGAGUUAGGUGUCUUCAUGAAAGUUAUAGACUUUUCUCUUAGCUUCGCAACGGUACCUCAUGUACCUUGAUCCGACACUCGUAGCUUCGAUUAGGCUCAAAACAAUUUUGACGGCAAAAUGGCUAGGUCGCCAUUUCCGUUUCCGUAUGCCGUUUCCGCACUCGUAUGUGCCGAUUUUGCCGUUUUGCUUGUUUUAGGUAUAUUAGUAGCCGUUUAUGAUAUUAUGUGAUGCAAUCUUCUAUUUCAGACGGUGGUAAGUUAGGUGGAGCCGGUGGGGCCUACUAGCUACUCUUCGCGGCACAAAUUUCGAAUUUUUGCUCUUUUGUUCGUUGAGUAAGUAUUCAGGCCGAUCUUACGUGUUAGUUGCUUAUGUGUUUCGAUAUGUAUGAAAAGGGUACCUAGGCGAGGGUGUAUUUUAUCGCACUCGACCUAAACCCUAAUUUGCGUACAUAUUUGUACAUGACAUAUGUAUAUGAAUCAUUUUGGAACUAAACCCCUUGAGCUUGUGGCUCGGGGUGACUUUUGAAUAAAUUUUGUGAAUUUUGUGAGUUUGGGGCCCGAUCUCAUGACCUAGAUGGGCUAUUCGAGCCGAUUAGGGCUUGGUCGAAAUCAGUCCAACCUAGUUGAGGUCACCAAGUUUGUGAAUCCGGUUCAUCGAGUAUGUGGACCAAGUUUGUGACCCGAGCUUGUGAGCCAAACUCAAUUUCGUUCGCUCGAGCAAGUUUGUGAGGUGUCUAGCCAGAGAGGGUGAUAAAGUGUACGGUGGGGAGAACAAGUGGAGUUCUACGGACCAUUAAUUGUGGUCGACGGAGUUUCGGCAGGAGAUCAUACAUGGCACAUGAAUUGGCUUUGGAGCCACCUGUAUCCUUAUUAUGUGAUGUUACUUUUCUGCUUUUGCUUUACUCUUACUGUGUAACUGUUGUUACGUGAAAUUUACGCUUUUGCCCCUGUUUACUUACUAAGCAUAUAACUUACCCCUUUCCUUUUGUUUUCCUUAGAAGGGGCCGACGCGGGGACUUUUGGCAUACACUAGUAUAGUUAGCUUUGCUUGUAAUAGUUGAACAAUUAGGAUGUUUGUUUUUGUUGUGGUGGUUUAUAUAAGGACCCUCCUUAGGGUCUACAUUUUGGUUUUGGUUGUAAUGAUAAGGAUGUAAUAGUGUGAGCAGGUACUUUUGGAGAAUGUAAUUAUAACUCUUUUGGGAUUGUAUAUAGUAUGUAUAGUACUCUUUUGGAUUUUCUGGCUUUUAUUGUUUUAAGUUUUGAGUCCUGGCGCGAGCUAGGCAGGCGGCCCGCCGAUACCCUUGGGUUCGCCCUUGGGAGAAGUGGGGUCGUCACAGUUGGUAUCAGAGCCAGGUUAGGGGACUUGGGCAAAUGGGACAUACGUGAUAGGCACUAGGCAUAUUUGAUUCUUUUAAGUUGAAUGAUAUACUUUAAGCUGAAAUGCCGGUAAACUGAUGAAUUAAUGUUUUGUAAGUAUGUAUCCGGGCAGUUCGAGUGGUGCAGGACCCAGUGGCAUGAGACCGAAACCUCCGAGUGCGAGGGGUCCAGAGGAUCGAGCACUGCGUAAGCGGGCUUCCGUUAUCGACAGAGACCUGGAGAGCCUUACACUUUGUACUCCCCUUUUGGUCAGGUGUCACACCGACCUUAUAGGUGUUGGUAUACGUAUAGUUAUCCUGACGAGGUCGUCCUGGCAGUGGACGAUGAGCGACGCAGUCUGAUUAGUCAGCUAGAGGAGGCCAGAGAGGUUGGCCAUGGGCAGGAGUUGCGUAUUAGGGCCUUGGAGCUGGGCCUCCGAGAUGAGAUGGAGAGGGCGGACGCUUUACGCCGUCAGCUUCAGGACACACACCAGCACCUCUUCGCUAUGAAGAGGCAGCUGAGGGAUAGGGCCCGGAGUAUGUCUGUCGACUGCGAGCUCCUACUAGAUCUAGCCGCAGAGGCACCGCCACGAGCCACCGGUCCAGAGAGGAUGGACGAGGUGGACACGUUAGGUUCCGUUGGGAACCUGGGCCUUAGGGGAGGCGAUUAGGGUUGCUUUUGUACUUUUGUUUAGCUAGUGGAUGACUUUUGUUAGAACUAGCAUGACUACUUUCUUUUGUUAUCUGGUUGACUGAUUAGAUUUUAGAGCCGAUGCUCAUGUGUACAUUGGGUUUUGUACCGACCGGAGGUCGGUAAUCUGUAAAUCUUUUGGUGUGACUUUGUAAAUAUAUGUAUAUAUUUGAAUAGUAUUUUGAACUUAUCUUUUGUGUCUUCUGUGCAUACGCUUUACGUCUGUACUUUUGUUCAUAGUCUGGAGAAUAAGUAUAUGUAAUGUUCCGAUCUAUAGACUUUUGCAUUUAAAUGGCCUCCGGUACUCGAGGUGGAGGUAGAGGGCGAGCACGAAGCCCUGAAAGGGAACAAGGACAAGAGCCAGAUCAAGUCGCUACAGCCAUCCAGUGGAUGGCCGAUCUAUUAGAGCGAAUGUCAAAUCAACAAGGCCAGGGGAGCAGUACUGGGAAUCCUGGACAUAAUCCGGGACAUAAUCCGGAAGAGGACCGUGCUUUAGAACGGUUCCAAAAAUUUGCACCUCCUAAGUUUAUAGGUGGACCCAAUCCUGACCUAGCAGAGGCCUGGAUGGACCGUAUGUUAGACAUAUUUGCCGCGCUUAGGUAUUCGGAGGAGCGGCAGAUAUCUUUUGCUGUUUUUCAGUUUGAAGGGACCGCUCGAACCUGGUGGAACAUGAUUAAAACCAAGUGGGAGCGCGAACAAACCCCCUGGACCUGGAUCAACUUUACACGAGAAUUUAAUGAAAAAUAUCUACCACCCAUUGUGCAAGAAAAACGGGAAGAUGAUUUUAUCCGCCUGCGUCAAGAGGCAUCUAGUCUGGCGGAGUAUGAGACUCAGUUCACUAAACUCUCUCGCUUUGCCCCAGAGCUAGUACUAACAGAGCAAAAGCGGAUUCGCCGUUUUACCCAAGGCUUGAAUGUAGAGAUUCAGGAAGCACUAGCGGCUGCACAGCUGGACACCUUUAGCCAGGCACUAGAAAAAGCACAGCGGAUUGAGACUGCCAGGGGACAGGUUAAAGCCUUUCAUGACCGGAAAAGGAGGCAACCCAGCUCGAACGAUUCCCCGGUUGGACAGAGCUCGCGAAACGAGCCACCUGCUAAAACGAGUAAAGGCACAGAUGGUCCACGACCUACAGGAACCCAGAAUAGCUUUGGGCGAGGUCAGAUAGUGCAAGAGCCCCAGAGGAGUGCCCAGCGUGGAGGGUCAGGUACGGCCACUAAGCCAACCUGUGAUUUCUGUGGGGGCAAUCACACCGAUGAAAAUUGUUGGAAAAAUAGUUCGGUACGGAAAUGCUUCAAAUGUGGUAGCACUGAACAUUUGAUUGUCCGGUGCCCUAAGAUGCAGAAGGAAGGACUCAAACCACCAACAGAAGGGACCACAACGAAGCCAUCAAACGCAGGGGAAAAUCGACCCAAAGGGCCAGCAAGAGUGUAUGCAAUGGAUCAACACGAAGUGACUGACCCUUCGGCGGGUUUCGAAGGUAUGCUUUGACCAAAGAAUUAAUUUCGAGGAGGAAAUUGUCCUAAGUGGGGGAGAUUGUGAGGCCCCAGUCCGUUCGUAAGACGAUAUUAGGGUUAUUCAUUAUUUUGUACGGUCAAAUUAUGGUUGUAGGGCUAAGGAGAAACCCUAAUCUCGGCUAAGAUUGAAAACCCUAACUUUAGAAAGUUGUAGCCUUAUAAGUCCUGAAUAUGCCUGUAAAUUUUCAGGUGAAUCGGAUUAGCGUUUCCGGAGUUAUAGAUGAAAUACUCAAGUCUGUUUUGAACAUCAGAUUCUGUGCGUUUUUGGUUUAGCUUCUGACCAUGACUUUUUCGAUUUUGAUCCCGUAUGAUCUGGGUGUUAACUCCUUCAUAAGAAAUGUAGAUCUUGGUCUCAGUUUCGAAACGGUAUAAAGUGCGUCGAAAUUCUAUACACUUUCGAGGGAGUCAAAAGAUAAGUUCAGCACUUUCGGGUCACAAAUUUUAUCAAACACUAAACAGGGGUAAGCUAUACUAGUGUAUGUGCCAAAAGUCACCCCGAGCCACAAGCUCAAGGGGUUUAGUUCCAAAAUGAUUCAUAUACAUAUGUCAUGUACAAAUAUGUACGCAAAUUAGGGUUUAGGUCGAGUGCGAUAAAGUACACCCUCGCCUAGGUACCCUUUUCAUACAUAUCGAAACACAUAAGCAACUAACACGUAAGAUCGGCCUGAAUACUUACUCAACGAACAAAAGAGCAAAAAUUCGAAAUUUGUGCCGCGAAGAGUAGCUAGUAGGCCCCACCGGCUCCACCUAACUUACCACCGUCUGAAAUAGAAGAUUGCAUCACAUAAUAUCAUAAACGGCUACUAAUAUACCUAAAACAAGCAAAACGGCAAAAUCGGCACAUACGAGUGCGGAAACGGCAUACGGAAACGGAAAUGGCGACCUAGCCAUUUUGCCGUCAAAAUUGUUUUGAGCCUAAUCGAAGCUACGAGUGUCGGAUCAAGGUACAUGAGGUACCGUUGCGAAGCUAAGAGAAAAGUCUAUAACUUUCAUGAAGACACCUAACUCCGGAUCGGAACAGAGAUGGGUCGAAAGUGCAGAAAACCGUUCCAGGAAUUCGCACUCUAGAGUAACGGACAAGGUAUGUUUGCUGGACUAUAACUCCCAACUCACAAAUCCAAAUCAGGAAAUUUCAAAGGCAUUAGAAAGCUGAGACAUAAGGCUAAAACUUUGAUGUUUUGGCCAAGACCUGAAUCCACUCAGAACAGAACGAAAUUUGAGUGUCAAAGUACCCGUCAGAACUGUCCAGAUCAAAGGCAGUUCUAACGAUCGAUCUUGUUUUGGUCAUAACGGAAGCUACGGAACUCGGAUUUCGACGCACUUUAUACCGUUUCGAAACUGAGACCAAGAUCUACAUUUCUUAUGAAGGAGUUGACACCCAAAUCGUACGGGAUCAAAACCGAAAAAGUCAUGGUCAGAAGCUAAACCAAAAACGCACAGAAUCUGAUUUUCAAAACAGACUUGAGUAUUUCAUCUAUAACUCCGGAUACGCUAAUCCGAUUGACCUGAAAAUUUACAGGCAUAUUCAGGACUUAUAAGGCUACAACUUUCAUGUUUUGAGGAACUUCUGAAUCCGUACGCAACAUCGAGAAAAACAAAACCAAAGUUCGGAUCUUGAACUGUCCUAAUUUCCCAGAUUUGCCGGUUUUGCGCGCCACAACCGUACGGUCCGUUCUUAUGAUUCUUAUGCAAAUUUUCUAACCAAUUUGAUCCCCAACAACCAUACUUAUAUCAGUCUAGGAGUGGUUCGAAAUUCCUUCACAAGUUAGCCCAAAAUCACCAAAUACUAACCAUAAUCCUUAAUCUAGUUUUACUUGCACCAUAGAACUUGUUCUAACAUCCAACUACACAAACCCUAACUCAAUAGCCAUAGGUUAAACUAAACUAACCUAAUGGAGUCUAUGGUUUCUUAACCCAAAUCAGAUUUUUGCUAGAAACCAACCAAUCAAGUGAGGCAAAUUAUCAAACACAACCACUACAAAUCAAUUUCUCAAUCAAAGCAACUAAGGAAAGCAUUAAAGCAAGAAACCCCUAAUUUUUCUCUUCUUGAUCGAAUUUCCAGCAGCAAAACAGCACUAAAAUUAACCAUGAAACUUCAAUAUAAACAUCAAAUCCACCAUAUAAAUCCAUAAUCAUAACAUACCACAUCAUUUCCAUAGUUUAGAAAUUAAAACCCCAACAUUUAUCUUUUAAAGAAGAUAGCAUACCUUCAAGUGAGUUAGGUAGAUGAUCAAUUCUUGACAAUCAAACUCUUAAGUUGUUCCCACAAGAUCCAAAGGCAAGAUGAAAGCUAAAAUUUAAAGAUUUUGGAAGAAUUUUCUCUUCUCUUUCACUCUCUAAAUCUCGGCUCCUCUCUCUCUCUCUUGCUCUCCAAGUUUGUCUUGUUUGUCUUGUGAUUACUUCAUAUUCCUAAGGUGUUAAAUAGUCAAAGACAAGAAAAGAUAUUUGUUAAGCUUAACCAAUCACAUAAAAGUUCCUCAAUUGCACUUUUAACCCUUGCACUCCAACUUUCUCUUUCUUAUACAUUUUCCCUCAAACAUUUGAUAAUCUUUCAAUUUACUCCAUAGGUUCUAGCUUAAUCUAGUUUAAAACACAUAAUCACACUUAAUUAUUUCACUAAUCACUUUCCCAUCUUAAUCACUUAUACUUAAACAUACUUUCUCCAUAAAUAAAACAAUUAAACAACAACUUAUAUAAUAUUAGCAAAAUUAGAAUUUUUAAACCCAACUUAAGCUUUUUAAUAAAUUAUAACACUAAAGGUUUGCUAAUCUAAAGUUUGCUAACCAUUUCAAACGUGCUAAACCUUUGUAAACUAAAACGAAUCAUAUAUUUGUGAGUUUGGGGCCCGAUCUCAUGACCUAGAUGGGCUAUUCGAGCCGGUUCGGACUUGGUCGAAAUCAGUCCAACCUAGUUGAGGUCACCAAGUUUGUGAAUCCGGUUCACCGAGUAUGUGGACCAAGUUUGUGACCCGAGCUUGUGAGCCAAGCUCAAUUUCGUUCGCUCGAGCAAGUUUGUGAGGUGUCUGGCCAGAGAGGGUGAUAAAGUGUACGGUGGGAAGAACAAGUGGAGUUCUACGGACCAUUAAUUGUGGUCGACGGAGUGUCGGCAGGAGAUCAUACAUGGCACAUGAAUUGGCUUUGGAGCCACCUGUAUCCUUAUUAUGUGAUGUUACUUUUCUGCUUUUGCUUUACUCUUACUGUGUAACUGUUACGUGAAAUUUACGUUUUUGCCCCUGUUUACUUACUAAGCAUAUAGCUUACCCCUUUUCUUUUGUUUUCCUUAGCAGGGGCCGACGCGGGGACUUUUGGCACAUACACUAGUAUAGUUAGCUUUGCUUGUAAUAGUUGAACAAUUAGGAUGUUUGUUUUUGUUGUGGUGGUUUGUAUAAGGACCCUCCUUAGGGUCUACAUUUUGGUUUUGGUUGUAAUGAUAAGGAUGUAAUAGUGUGAGCAGGUACUUUUGGAGAAUGUAAUUAUAACUCUUUUUGGAUUGUAUAUAGUAUGUAUAGUACUCUUUUGGAUUUUCUAUUUUGUGCGGUUAAAUUAAGGUUGUAGGGCUAAGGAGAAACCCUAAUCUCGGCUAAAAUUGAAAACCCUAACUUUGCUUAUGAUUAAACCCUAGUUUAUGUGUUAUUUGUAGGUUCAAGUUAUAGUUCAUGUUUGGUAUUCUAGUGUGUGUUUUGGCCCAAGUAAAAAUAGGAUUCGUUUUAGUUUACAAAGGUUUAGCAAGGUUGAUAUGGUUAGCAAACCUUAGAUUAGUAAACCUUUAGUGUUAUAAAUUAUUAGAAAACUUAAGUUGGGUUUAAAAACCCUAAUUUUGCCAAUAUUAUAAAAGUUGAUGUUUAAUUGUUUUAUUUAUGGAGAAAGUAUGUUUAAAUAUAAGUGAUUAAGAUGGGAAAGUGAUUAGUGAAAUAAUUAAGUGUGAUUAUGUGUUUUAAACUAAAUUAAGCUAAAACCUAUGGAGUAAAUUGAAAGAUUAUCAAAUGUUUGAGGGAAAAUGUAUAAGAAAGAGAAAGUUGGAGUGCAAGGGUUAAAAGUGCAAUUGAGGAACUUUUAUGUGAUUGGUUAAGCUUAACAAAUAUCAUUUCUUGUCUUUGACUAUUUAACACCUUAGGAAUAUGAAGUAAUCACAAGACAAACAAGACAAACUUGGAGAGCAAGAGCGAGAGAGAGGAGCCGAGAUUUAGAGAGAAUUCUUCAAAAAUCUUUAAAUUUUAGCUUUCAUCUUGCCUUUGGAUCUUGUGUGAACAACUUAAGAGGUUGAUUGUCAAGAAUUGAUCAUC